GCCGCCACCGUAGUCUUCUCCAUCCCGAGCACCGGCGUGCACCGGCGAACGGGAGCAGGGGCGGAUCUAGAAGCUGAAGAUUGGGGGGUGCUCGUCUUUCCUUUCUUCCUCCUCUUCCUUCCCUUUCUCUUCUUCUUCCUCCUCCUUUCUUCCUCCUCCCUUUCAACUAUGACUGGAAAUUGUAGAGGGGGCUUGGGGGGCUCCCAUGGACUUCAUGGAGUUAAGGGGGGUGCUGGAGCCCCCUCAGCCCCCCUGUGGAUCCGCCACUGAAUGGGAGAGCAGGUCUCCGGAACCUUUCGUCUUUGGGAUCCUGCACCAGGAGAGGACGAAUAAAGUUUUGGGAAGCGCCCGGCGCGACUGCUCGAUGAUCUUCGCCACGGCUCAUCCUCCGUCCAAAUCUAGUGCUGCGGUGUAUCGUCGCCUGCGACGUCGUCUGUUGCUCUCCGUUCGUACGACCACUGUCGUCCCGUCAGCGCCGUUCGUCUUCCCGAAGGCAAAAGCUCAAUUGGUCUGGCCUCCUCACCGUUGAUGCAAUUGGUGCAGCCAGCCGGAGGUAACUCCCUGUUCAGUUUUGUUGAGCGGUCAUUCUCCCGAUUGCCCUGUACACCGAAGCCGCUGAGCUUGCCUUCGUCAAUUUGCUUGGGGAGUAUCUCCGCCUACUCAGCCUGCAGUUCCGGUCGGCCGCUGCGCCCUGCGCUAGCUGGGUAGGACGAGGAGUUUGUCCUCCUCGCCGCCCUCGUCAUCGAGAACACCCCUUCCGCGAGCCCCACUGCAAGAAGCGGGCCUCCACCACCUCCGCCGCCGCUGUUGGCAGGUCCAGAUCCAGCACCAGGUAAAUAUUUGUUCGACGGGGCGUCGUCUCGGGUGAUGGGCAAUCUCGAGUGCCAGGUGGCAGCACCAAAUCCACAAUAGGAUCGGACAAGAGUGCCUCUGUGUGUUGCAGUUGCGUCCACACACACAUCACGCAGAUGAAUUGAACCCUAUUGUCUGCUGCGCCUAUUUGUGUAGGUGUGUUUUCUGAUUCUUUAAUUUUUUUCCCAAUGCAACCACAUAUGGAGUUCUAAAAUUUUGCAGAAAUUUCUUGAUACAUGAGAAUGCCAUUAUCUGUAGUUGCUCCACAAAUUGUUACUAAUCCAUGACUUGGGGAAGUGGUAUAGCAAUCAGUCAUAUAGAUUAUUUAUCUAUAAUAAUGGUAGCCUAGACCGGCAGUACUUGCUGUAUGAAUCGGCAGUUUUUUGAGGUGAUGAGCGCAUUGAUCCAAAUUUCAAUUGGCUCUACAUUGUUUUCCUAUCACGGUUGUUCACUACCUUGAUGUUGCUGCAAGUGCCAGUGAAGAUGCAGCAUGGCAAUAGAUGGGAUGCAUAGUGUGCUGGUUGACCAAGGCUGGUUGCGGUAAGGUGGUGAACAUUAGUCGCAAUAUGUAGCUUUUAACAAAAAAAAAGAAAGGAAAUGCUUCCAUGGUUGAAAUAGUUA